CUUGGGGGGUCAUUUUAGAUCUAAAUCAUAACAUGCAUGUACAUUAAAACAGAGGAACAAAUAGACAAAAUGAAGAGAGAUGUCUGGAAAAGCUUUGGGGAGAAGUUAGAAUUUGAGCUGCACUUGAGAAUAUAUGUGGUUUUUAAGGAAACAUGGAUGAAAAGGUACUGGUAGGAAAUGGAAAUAGCUCAUAUAAAGUUGUGGCAUCUGGGAGCAACAGAUCAUGUAUAGAAAAUGAGGCCCACAAGAAGAUGUAAUGGACAUAGUGCCCAAACUUUAUGCCAGCUGUGGAAGAAGAAUUUUCAUGAAGCCUUCUUAAUCUCUUCUAAGAGAGAAAAACUCCAACAGACCAACAGGGGACAGAACUUCAAGGACAGAGGUUUGUAAUACAACAUCCGGGGAAGGUCAUAGGGGAAGGCAGGAGAACAAUACUACUGGAAGAAAAUCAGGAACGUUUAUGACAGUCACAGCUCCAAGACGCAGGCCUCUAGAAUUGUUAAGCAUUAAUAGAUUGUAGGUCAUUCUCCCCAAACCUAACACCUAACCACGUUACCAACAGGGUCCAGGUGAUAGAGGAUGACAACUGAAAGAACAGCAAGACACAGACUUGGGAGGAAUACAUAGAGAAGCUCCUAAGACAAAAGGGAAAUUGAACAAGUGCACAAGUGGGAAGUGAAGUCUCUGGAAUCUGUAACUAAAAUAAUAUUAAAUGCACUGCAACUUCUAGC
rnacentral:lncRNA from 1 species